GUUUUGGGGACAUGUUUGCUGCAGAGUAGCCAAGUAGGUUGAGUUCAAUGAUGGGUCUGGAUUCCCUGUUCCGUUGAAGUUGUAUAGACGGUUCACGAAGGUUCGGCAUUGAGCUCGUCCGAACGUGUGUGCGCCUGUCAGAUACAGAAGCUUCGGCGGCGAGGGCGAGAAUGUCAGCACAAGAAACAAUACCGGAGCACGAAUUCUCCACGGCAGUCUUGAUGUUGUCAACAACGUCAAAACCCCUUGUGGAGUUGGCAUUAGGGCCGGCAUCUUUUUCGCUCUGUAUGCUGCCACUGUUGUCCAACAGUAAUGAAGCAUCACAUCCCUAACAUAAUUAAUCAACAGAAUUAGAACUCGGUGAUCAACAACAAAACUUGACACUAAAUCUAGAUCUGGACAUGUCAAAGAGUAAAAAUAACUAUAUGACUUUACAUUGACAAAGCAGUCAUGAAAAUGAAGACGAAUGAGGCUGGCGCCAAUCCUCGAGUCAGAAUUCAAAGCUUGCUGAACUGCAUUUCUUACUAUGGUUGACACGUUGGGGCAUGUAGAAGAGUAAAAUGUAGUGUUUAGUUGAGCAUUAGAUUCAUAUAGAGUCGUUGCUACAAUACUAAAUACCAAUAGUAUGGAAUAGUAAUUUGAAACAGAAGAAGAAGAAGAGAAGGAAAACAUUAUGGUUUUGGUUUAAUUAUUGUUGGCUACCUUAGCUUUCUAUUAUCUUAAUUAUGUGUCUAUUGGCUAUCACCUCCAGUCAUUAUAUAAGAAAAUAUCACGUCAUUCUCCCUAA